UCAGUUUCUCUCUCUAUCUUCCAGGGCCCUCCUUACCGCCACCCCUGGCCCUACUUACCGCCACUCAAUACAGACAACGGAGAGAGAGUCCCCUUCAUCUCUCUCUCUCUCUCUCUCUCUCUCUCUCUCUCUCGGCUUUCGGUUGGCGGAGAUAUGAGCGGCGGCGUUGCGAGAAGGGAGGUGCGGCGGAGGUGCGUCGCAGAAAAAC
rnacentral:lncRNA from 1 species